UCCGAAUUGGUGUAGUGGCUAACAUUUGACGCUCUCAUCCUCCCAUGAUCCGUCAAGCCCGGGGUUCGAUUCCCCGAUUCGGAG